UACGAAGGGGGCUAGCGUUGCUCGGAAUCACUGGGCGUAAAGCGCACGUAGGCGGCUUCUUAAGUCAGGGGUGAAAUCCUGGAGCUCAACUCCAGAACUGCCUUUGAUACUGAGGAGCUUGAGUCCGGGAGAGGUGAGUGGAACUGCGAGUGUAGAGGUGAAAUUCGUAGAUAUUCGCAAGAACACCAGUGGCGAAGGCGGCUCACUGGCCCGGUACUGACGCUGAGGAGCGAAAGUGUGGGGAGCGAACAGG
rnacentral:rRNA from 1 species